CCAAUAGCGUAUAUUAAAGUUGUUGCAGUUAAAAAGCUCGUAGUUGAAUUUCAGGCCUGGCUGGACGGUCCGCCCUUCGGGUGAGUACUGUCUGUGGUCGGGUCCUACCUUCUGGCGAAGCGUCAUGGCCUUAACCGGCCGUGGCGGGGAACCAGGACUUUUACUGUGAAAAAAUUAGAGUGCUCAAAGCAGGCAAUCGCUUGGAUACAUUAGCAUGGAAUAAUGGAAUAGGACAAUGGUUCUAUUUGUUGGUUUCUAGGACCGUUGUAAUGAUUAAUAGGGAUAGUUGGGGGCAUUAGUAUUCAAUUGUCAGAGGUGAAAUUCUUGGAUUUAUUGAAGACUAACUACUGCGAAAGCAUUUGCCAAGGAUGUUUUCAUUAAUCAAGAACGAAAGUUAGGGGAUCGAAGACGAUCAGAUACCGUCGUAGUCUUAACCAUAAACUAUGCCGACUAGGAAUCGGGCGAUGUUGAAAAGAUGACGCGCUCGGCACCUCAUG
rnacentral:rRNA from 1 species